AAAAACUCCUGAAGGAAGCCAGAGGAAAAGAACAUCUUGCCCACAGACAGAGGAUCAAAGGUGUUCUGCAGGUGUUCCUGUCCACAUGUGAGGCUUCCUCUCUAGAGUGCACAGGGGAAGGCCACUCCAGAUGAGGAAAGCAGGGAUCAGUGAGGCCAAGCUCAGAUUUACACAGCCAGUAGAUGAUAGGGCCAAGAUACUAUUCCAGAAUUGACGGUGUAUGUUAACCCCAGUUAUGACCUUAGUGGGCCAAUGUGUCCAGAGUAUUCUCAGCCCAACAUUCGAGCAAUCAAUCAACAUGCAUUACUUGAAGGAACUUCUCCAAAGAGGCCUGAGACCCAGCCCCUGCCUGCCAGGACAGCACUCCAACUGCGGAGACGAAGACAGGAAUAACACAAGAGCAGCGUGCAAAUACGGGAGCUGCCUCGAGGAAGCAUGCCAGCAAUUGUGCACGUUCCUGCCAUGGCACACACAGUGGUGACGCUCCCACGUGUGAUGCACUCCCCGGGGUAUUUCUGGGGCUGCAGCUAGCAUUCUUCUUUUGUCCAUGUGAGACAGUGUGUUAGAAUGUGAGCAACUGAGAGAAUGUUAUAAAGGUAUUAUCCAGAUCUUCUCUAAUGUUAAAUCACAACAAAUCAAUAAGAAUCUUUGGUAUUUGCCAACUCUCCCUCAUGGCAGUUGAU